GUCCAGACUCCUACGGGAGGCAGCAGUGGGGGAUAUUGCACAAUGGGGGGAACCCUGAUGCAGCGACGCCGCGUGGGUGAGGAAGUACCCCGGUAUGUAAAGCCCUUUCGGCAGGGAAGAAAAUGACGGUACCUGGCGAAGAAGCCCCGGCUAACUACGUGCCAGCAGCCGCGGUAAUACGUAGGGGGCAAGCGUUAUCCGGAUUCACUGGGUGUAAAGGGAGCGUAGACGGCCAUGCAAGCCUGGAGUGAAAGCCCGGGGCCCAACCCCGGGACUGCUCUGGGAACUGUGCGGCUGGAGUGCGGGAGGGGCAGGCGGAAUUCCUGGUGUAGCGGUGAAAUGCGUAGAUAUCAGGAGGAACACCGGCGGCGAAGGCGGCCUGCUGGACCGCGACUGACGUUGAGGCUCGAAAGCGUGGGGAGCAAACAGGAUUAGAUACCCUAGUA
rnacentral:rRNA from 1 species